CUUCCGGUAGCUCAAUGGAUUAGAGCAGCGCUCUUCUAAAGCGAAGGUUCAAGGUUCGAAUCCUUGUCGGAAGA
rnacentral:tRNA from 1 species